UGGCAGAGCCGGUGUGAGGAACAGAAACGAGAGAAAGAGGACAGAAGGAGGAAGGGGAGGGAGUGAGAGUGAAAGAUGCAAAAAGGAAGAAAAGAGGGAGGAAAAAAAAGGACAGAAGAGGAGAUGCUGCGAUUCAACAAAAGAACGCAGGGAAACGUGACCCGAGGGCAGGCAGCGGAGCAGCACACGUGUAGAACCACCGAGCUACCAGCCAGCAUGAGUCACUGCGAACACCAGUCGACCCAGAGAGAACAAUGGCCACCGGUGUGCRAGGUGUCUGUCAAGCGUGCGCACACUGGCACAGGAUGAAGAACUGCAGAUGGAGCAGCGGCUCACUGCAGCACCAUCAAAUUACAACCAACCUGGUCACUGUAUGGCUGUGACUUCAGGAUCCACCAAUCACAUCAACACAAUCCCAAAUUCUGCUCUUGUAUUUGUGAUGCGCUUCUUUAUGACCCCAGUCACAUGAAGAAGCGUGAUUUGUCUCACUAAACUACACAUUUUGAGAUUUAUUGACGCUUUUAUUGAACAAACGGGUAAUAAAAUUGUGAUACGCACAGUUUUUUUUUAAACAUUAAUAUGUAUAAAUGUAUGUAUCACAAUAAAUGGUAAACAAUCAACUAUACGAUAAAUGCCGACCCCUAACUGCAUUGUCCUCUGAAGUUGGA